rnacentral:rRNA from 3 species
AAAUUGAAGAGUUUGAUCAUGGCUCAGAUUGAACGCUGGCGGCAGGCCUAACACAUGCAAGUCGAACGGUAACAGGAAGCAGCUUGCUGCUUCGCUGACGAGUGGCGGACGGGUGAGUAAUGUCUGGGAAACUGCCUGAUGGAGGGGGAUAACUACUGGAAACGGUGGCUAAUACCGCAUAACGUCGCAAGACCAAAGAGGGGGACCUUCGGGCCUCUUGCCAUCAGAUGUGCCCAGAUGGGAUUAGCUUGUUGGUGAGGUAACGGCU